GGGUACCUACGGGGCGCAGCAGUCGGGAAUAUUGCACAAUGGAGGAAACUCUGAUGCAGUGACGCCGCGUGCAGGAAGAAGGUUUUCGGAUUGUAAACUGCUUUAGACAGGGAAGAAACAAGACAGUACCUGUAGAAUAAGCUCCGGCUAACUACGUGCCAGCAGCCGCGGUAAUACGUAGGGAGCAAGCGUUAUCCGGAUUUAUUGGGUGUAAAGGGUGCGUAGACGGGUAUAUAAGUUAGUUGUGAAAUCACUCGGCUCAACUGAGGAACUGCAACUAAAAAUGUAAAUCUUGAGAGAGGGAG
rnacentral:rRNA from 1 species